AUGUACCACGCGUGCCGGUUCCUCCACGCCAUCCGCACCCGCCUGACGACCGCUCGCUACGCCUUGUUAGCC
rnacentral:sRNA from 1 species